rnacentral:tRNA from 2 species
UAGCUCAGCUGGGAGAGCGCCUGCUUUGCACGCAGGAGGUCAGCGGUUCGAUCCCGC